GAUGAACGCUGGCGGCGUGCCUAAUACAUGCAAGUCGAGCGAACAGAUAAGGAGCUUGCUCCUUUGACGUUAGCGGCGGACGGGUGAGUAACACGUGGGUAACCUACCUAUAAGACUGGAAUAACUCCGGGAAACCGGGGCUAAUGCCGGAUAACAUUUAGAACCGCAUGGUUCUAAAGUGAAAGAUGGUUUUGCUAUCACUUAUAGAUGGACCCGCGCCGUAUUAGCUAGUUGGUAAGGUAACGGCUUACCAAGGCAACGAUACGUAGCCGACCUGAGAGGGGGAUCGGCCACACUGGAACUGAGGCACGGUCCAGACUCCUACGGGAGGCAGCAGUAGGGAAUCUUCCGGAAUGGGCGAAAGCCUUACGGAGCAACGCCGCGUGAGUGAUGAAGGUCUUCGGAUCGUAAAACUCUGUUAUUAGGGAAGAACAAAUGUGUAAGUAACUGUGCACGUCUUGACGGUACCUAAUCAGAAAGCCACGGCUAACUACGUG
rnacentral:rRNA from 1 species